ACCUGGUUGAUCCUGCCAGUAGUCAUACGCUUGUCUCAAAGAUUAAGCCAUGCAUGUCUAAGUAUAAACCGCUUUAACGGUGAAACUGCGAAUGGCUCAUUAAAUCAGUUAUAGUUUAUUUGAUAGUCCCUUUUACUACUCGGAUAACCGUAGUAAAUCUAGAGCUAAUACGUGCGGAAAGGGCCGACUGAGGAGGGCGACCUCUUCGGAAGGCUCGUAUUUAUUAGAUACCAAACCGAUACGGGGCAUCCCAAACCCCGGGAGGGAAAAGGGGAAGGUAAAACCCUUCCUCUCCCUCCCUUCCGGGGGUCCCGGUUCAACUCGGUGAUUCACGAUAACUUCGCGAAUCGCACGGCCUCUGCGCCGGCGAUGAUUCAUUCGAAUUUCUGCCCUAUCAACUUUCGAUGGUAAGAUAGAGGCUUACCAUGGUGAUAACGGGUGACGGAGAAUUAGGGUUCGAUUCCGGAGAGGGAGCCUGAGAAACGGCUACCACUUCUAAGGAAGGCAGCAGGCGCGCAAAUUACCCAAUCCCGACACGGGGAGGUAGUGACAAUAAAUACCGAUACAGGUCUCCUCGCGAGACUUGUAAUUGGAAUGAGAGCAAUUCAAACCCCUUAACGAGGAACGAUUGGAGGGCAAGUCUGGUGCCAGCAGCCGCGGUAAUUCCAGCUCCAAUAGCGUAUAUUAAAGUUGUUGCAGUUAAAAAGCUCGUAGUUGAACCUUGGAACGGGGAGAAGGGGGAAGGGGAAGGGGGGCUCGCCCUCCUCCUCUAUCCUCCCCUCCCGUGCGAAGCCGGUCCGCCCCGAAGGGCGAGCACUGGCUCGCGCGUUCCCUCCUACCGGACGCUCGCUCGCUGCUCUUCGUUGAGUGGGAGUAUUCUCUGGGGGGCGGACCCCUCCUUCCUCUUAGGGGGAAGUAGGACCGCUCUUUUUCCCAGGUUUCGCAGGGGCCGAGGGGGAGGAAGGGGAAAAAAAAAAAAAAAAGGGAAGAGGAAGAAAUUCUUCUCCCCCUCUUUUUCUUUUUUUUCCUCCCUUCCCGUCAAACGUCGGUUCCUACGGAGCUCCGGUUCGUUUACCUUGAAUAAAUUAGAGUGUUCAAAGCGGGCAAGCACAAGCCUAGAUACUUUAGCAUGGGAUAAUAGAAUAGGACUUGGGUUCUAUUUUCGUUGGUUCUUAGGACCGAAGUAAUGAUUAAUAGGGACGGUCGGGGGCAUUAGUAUUUAAUUGUCAGAGGUGAAAUUCUCGGAUUUAGGAAAGACUGACUUCAGCGAAAGCAUUUGCCAAGGACGUUUUCAUUAAUCAAGAACGAAAGUUAGGGGAUCGAAGACGAUCAGAUACCGUCGUAGUCUUAACCAUAAACGAUGCCGACCAGGGAUCGGAAGACGUUACCUCGAUGACUCUUCCGGCACCUUGCGGGAAACCACAAGUCUUUGGGUUCCGGGGGGAGUAUGGUCGCAAGGCUGAAACUUAAAGGAAUUGACGGAAGGGCACCACCAGGAGUGGAGCCUGCGGCUUAAUUUGACUCAACACGGGGAAACUUACCAGGUCCGGACAUAGGAAGGAUUGACAGAUCGAUAGCUCUUUCUUGAUUCUAUGGGUGGUGGUGCAUGGCCGUUCUUAGUUGGUGGAGCGAUUUGUCUGGUUAAUUCCGUUAACGAACGAGACCUCGGCCUGCUAAAUAGCCAUGCGAACCCUUCCGCCGAAAGAGGAUACGGUCCCGGGGGGUCCACGCGCCUCCUCAGCUCGCCCCCUCGCGGGGGAAGGAGGGGGGGGGCGCGCCCUCGGCUCGAUCGCCCUCUGGUGGGGUUCGUAGCGGCGCUUCUUAGAGGGACUAUGCAAUCCCAGUGCAUGGAAGUUCGAGGCAAUAACAGGUCUGUGAUGCCCUUUAGAUGUUCUGGGCCGCACGCGCGCUACACUGACGAGCUCAACGAGCGUAACUUUCUCCUCGGCCGGAAGGUCCGGGCAAUCUUGGAAAGCUCGUCGUGCUGGGGAUAGAUCCUUGCAAUUAUGGAUCUUCAACGAGGAAUUCCUAGUAAGCGCGAGUCAUCAGCUCGCGUUGAUUACGUCCCUGCCCUUUGUACACACCGCCCGUCGCUCCUACCGAUUGAACGGUCCGGUGAAGUCUUCGGAGCGCGGCUCAAGCUCGGUCGGGGCAACUCGGCCGGGUAGGGUCGCGCAAAGUCGACUAAACCUUAUCGUUUAGAGGAAGGAGAAGUCGUAACAAGGUAUCCGUAGGUGAACCAGCGGAAG
rnacentral:rRNA from 1 species